rnacentral:rRNA from 1 species
GAUGAACGCUGGCGGCGUGCCUAAUACAUGCAAGUCGAGCGAACAGACGAGGAGCUUGCUCCUUCGACGUUAGCGGCGGACGGGUGAGUAACACGUAGGUAACCUACCUAUAAGACUGGGAUAACUUCGGGAAACCGGAGCUAAUACCGGAUAAUAUUUCGAACCGCAUGGUUCGAUAGUGAAAGAUGGCUUUGCUAUCACUUAUAGAUGGACCUGCGCCGUAUUAGCUAGUUGGUAAGGUAACGGCUUACCAAGGCAACGAUACGUAGCCGACCUGAGAGGGUGAUCGGCCACACUGGAACUGAGACACGGUCCAGACUCCCACGGGAGGCAGCAGUAGGGAAUCUUCCGCAAUGGGCGAAAGCCUGACGGAGCAACGCCGCGUGAGUGAUGAAGGUCUUCGGAUCGUAAAACUCUGUUAUUAGGGAAGAACAAACGUGUAAGUAACUGUGCACGUCUUGACGGUACCUAAUCAGAAAGCCACGGCUAACUACGUG